rnacentral:rRNA from 1 species
UAGGGAAUCUUCGGCAAUGGGGGCAACCCUGACCGAGCAACGCCGCGUGAGUGAAGAAGGUUUUCGGAUCGUAAAGCUCUGUUGUUAGAGAAGAAUGAUGGUGGGAGUGGAAAAUCCACCAAGUGACGGUAACUAACCAGAAAGGGACGGCUAACUACGUGCCAGCAGCCGCGGUAAUACGUAGGUCCCGAGCGUUGUCCGGAUUUAUUGGGCGUAAAGCGAGCGCAGGCGGUUUUUUAAGUCUGAAGUUAAAGGCAUUGGCUCAACCAAUGUACGCUUUGGAAACUGGAGAACUUGAGUGCAGAAGGGGAGAGUGGAAUUCCAUGUGUAGCGGUGAAAUGCGUAGAUAUAUGGAGGAACACCGGUGGCGAAAGCGGCUCUCUGGUCUGUAACUGACGCUGAGGCUCGAAAGCGUGGGGAGCAAACAAGAUUAGAUACCCUGGUAGUCCACGCCGUAAACGAUGAGUGCUAGGUGUUAGGCCCUUUCCGGGGCUUAGUGCCGGAGCUAACGCAUUAAGCACUCCGCCUGGGGAGUACGACCGCAAGGUUG